GGUCAAGAUAAAAGUAAAAUAUUGGGAGUGACUCACCAACUUAUAUUAUCCAAACAAUCUCUAAAUCAAAUAGCAGUUGAAGGUCAUUUCCAAAAGUUGAAGGGAAUUUCUAGAAUUUCUGAAGGAAUAGAGACGUGAAUGUAAUUGACCAAAACAUUAGCUCGCAGCAGAUAGCUGAUAGCUCCGAUCUCUUUGCUUCAAGACGGAAAUUACUGAACUGAGAGAAGUACAGCGAACAUGUUCGGAAGGAGAAGAUUUUUGUCGUUUCCGCUGGUAAUUGGCGCUGUAAUAAUUGGAGUUGUAUCUGGGAAAGCUAUAUUUGCACAACCACUUGAUGAAUACUGGAAGAAGAAACAUCAGGAAGAACCAGCAGCAAAAGAAAACGACGGAAGCACCUCAUAGUGUUCGAUGGGACGCCCAUCUGAGCUGAAUACCGUUGUAUUUUUCUGUUGGCAGUUGAUCUUUAGAAAUGCUUUGUGCAUCCACAUCCUCAUCCAAAUAGUUUAUGACACCAAGCUUUGGAAAUUUCACCCCUCAGUUGCUUCUAUGAGACUACCCAUCAAACUCAUCCACUUCUUUUCUUGUUGAAAUAUAUACGCAAAAACAACCAUUGGAGCAGUACAGCUUAGGAGAUAUAUUACAUGACAAUUUGGAUAAAUUUGUCCCUAUGUUGCUUUACCUUUCUUUUAUUUUCUUCCUCUUCUCUGCUUACUGCAUCUGACUUGUGCAGCCUGAAACUUGAAAGUCAUCCUCUUAAAAUAUUUGUAUGGAGAACCAAAAUUGAUCAUCUUAGAAAGCAUGGUAAUGACUGAAUGUAAUAGCAUGAAGCAUAUGUAUUCAUUUUUAAUUUUGAAGGAUGGCACAAGGGUGCGUCUCAUUUUUGGUCACGGAGUUUAUUCUGUUAUGCACAGGUUUGGCCCAUGAUCAGUCUGAUCUCUAUUGGGAAUGGAAUGAAAUAUAUUGAACUAUACAACACGUGCUGAACGCGUGAACUUACAGUGGAACUGAUAUCUGAAUGUUGAAAUCCUAAUUUGUUGGUUUGGUCCCUGGACCCCGCGGAGCUUAGUGCACCGGAUUGCCCUUUUUUGGUCCAAUGAUAAACCUGUAGGUCUAAAAGAAAGGUAUCAACUCUUGAGCGCUU